CGCCCUGUUGCUGCUUGGCUCGCGUCGGAGGAAACUACAAAUUUUAGUAAACAACUUUUCCAAGUUUGAAGUCUUACACUUCUUGACUUUUGGGUGUUUUCUACGUUUACUUAAGACGGGGAUUUUCGUUCUAAACUAAAAUGGGAGCGUGUAUGGCAUUGUGUUCAAUCGCCAGCUGUGCAUCGUGUCUGUGUGGCUCUGCUCCCUGUCUGUUGUCAGGAUGCUGUCCCUCCACCUAUAACUCCACUGUGUCCCGGCUGGCCUUCUCCUUCCUGCUGCUGCUGGGGACCCUGGUCUCUGUCAUCAUGAUCCUACCUGGCAUGGAGACUCAGCUCAAGAAGAUACCAGGGUUCUGUGUGGGCGGAACCUCCAUACCCAUGCCAGGCAUCGAGAACAAGGUGAACUGUGAUGUCAUCGUGGGCUACAAGUCUGUGUAUCGCAUGUGCUUUGCCAUGGCCUGCUUCUUUUUCCUGUUCUCCAUCAUCAUGAUCCGCGUUCGCAGCAGCAAGGACCCCCGAGCUUCCCUACAGAACGGAUUCUGGUUCUUCAAGUUCCUCGUACUGGUGGGGAUAACUGUAGGAGCCUUCUUCAUUCCAGACGGGACAUUCAACACAGUGUGGUUCUACUGUGGCAUGGUGGGUUCCUUCUUCUUUAUCAUCAUCCAGCUGAUCCUGCUUGUGGACUUUGCUCACACCUGGAACCAGUCCUGGCUGGAGAACGCUGAGGAGGGAAAUGGCAAGUGCUGGUUCUCAGCUCUCCUGUCCUUCACGGUGCUGCACUAUGUCCUGGCCUUCUCUGCUGUGGUGGUGUUCUAUGUCUAUUACACCACAGGAGACGACUGCACUGAACACAAGGUCUUCAUCAGCCUCAACUUCAUCUUCUGCAUCAUCGUCUCCAUAGUUGCCAUCCUGCCCAAAGUUCAGGAGUCCCAGCCCAGCUCAGGCCUGCUCCAAGCGUCCUUCAUCUCCCUCUACACCAUGUAUGUCACAUGGUCCGCCAUGACCAACAACCCCAACCGUAAGUGUAACCCCAGCCUGCUGAGUCUGGUACACAACACCUCCACCCCUAUACCUACACCUGCCCCAGGGCAAGGGGUCCAGUGGUGGGAUGCACAGGGCAUCAUAGGACUGGUCAUCUUCCUCUUCUGCACUCUCUACGCCAGCAUCCGUUCGUCCAACAACACCCAGGUGAACAGGCUGAUGCAGACAGAGGAGGGCCAGGGUCUGGCUGCAGAAGACCACGAGGCGGCCACGGGGGAGGACGGGGUCAGACGGGCCGUGGACAACGAGGAAGAGGGGGUCACCUACUCUUACGCCUUCUUCCACUUCAGCCUGUGCCUGGCCUCCCUCUACAUCAUGAUGACACUCACAAACUGGUACCAACCUGAUGCAGACUACCAGGCCAUGCAGAGCUGUAUGCCAGCUGUGUGGGUGAAGAUUGUCUCUAGCUGGAUAGGCCUGGCUCUCUACCUCUGGACCCUGGUAGCUCCUCUCAUCCUCUCUAACCGAGACUUCAACUAAAGACAUACAUUCCAUCCAGGGCUAAGUCCCAAAUGGCACCCCUGGUCCCAAGUAGAAAGAGGGACAUUCCAGCACCUGAGAAGUUGAGGAAACAGGCCAAAGACAUGUCAUCACAUGAUGUCAUCAGUCCGAGCCAACAGGGAUUCCAGAACCUCCCAUCCCCUCUGGCUUCAUUCAUCACCCUGAUCACAUGACCAUGAUCACACUCCAACAGGAUUAUUCUUAUUUCCUUGUGACGCAGGAUUACCCAUGCAGCCACACCACACGCUCUCUCGAUGAGGGAAUGUGAUUUCCCCAUCACAAGAUUGGCAUGAGGAGGGGUUGAACACAAGACCAACAUUAUUCAUUGAGGACCAAAUGGGUUCAGCUGGGGUAGAGAAGGAGCACAGAGAGAUGGGUCUGUAGUUAGUCCAUGAAUUCAGCCUCAAAUCAAAUCACCGCAAUCAGAACGUUUGAGUUUACGCAGAGCAGAAUUACGCCCGGACACACACUGAAGUAAUGUAUACCUAGUGGGAAAUAAAGUGAGUGCUAUGCCAUAUUAAUUUCAGCUGACUGCUUUAUGGUAGUCAAUGUUAGUUGAAUUAACAUGCUUUCUUUCAUUCAAUCACUUUGAGACCCUUCCUUUUGCUCUUUUACAGAAAAUAAUCUACUGUAUAUAUCUGAGUAUUUUUCAAUCCUGUACACUAGUAGUUCUGAUCUUGGUGAGUGGGUGACCUUGUUAGUGUGAUGACCCUGGGUCUCUGUGACAGACCGUUCGAUAGUGGUGGAGUCCCCUUCACAGCAGGCAUUUAGACCUAGUCUACAUAAUGCUGUUAUAUAACGGCCUGGUUGGGGGAACCCAUCAUGCUAUGACUCUGUCUGGGGCCUCCACUGUGGUGCGGUAGAGGAGAGAAUACGGAAAAGAUUGGCUGCAUUAGCCGGUUUGGAUCAUGCUCUCACUGGGGAUGAGGACUGCCACUGUGCAUCUGGAUACCUCUGUAGGUUGAGGUGAACACACAGGUAGAGGGAAAAUGUAUGUUCUAGAGCAGGGCUCUCCAACCCUGUUCCUGGAGAGCUACCUUCCUGUAGGU